UACAGAGGGUGCAAGCGUUGUUCGGAAUUACUGGGCGUAAAGGGCGUGUAGGCGGUUGAACAAGUCAGAUGUGAAAUCCCGGGGCUUAACUCCGGAAGUGCAUUUGAAACUGUUCGGCUAGAGUGUAGUAGAGGAUGGCGGAAUUCCCAGUGGAGAGGUGAAAUUCGUAGAUAUUGGGAGGAACACCGGUGGCGAAGGCGGCCAUCUGGGCUACAACUGACGCUGAGGCGCGAGAGCGUGGGGAGCAAACAGGAUUAGAAACCCUCGUAGUCC
rnacentral:rRNA from 1 species